rnacentral:rRNA from 1 species
GUGGAUUAGAUACCCUGGUAGUCCACGCCCUAAACGAUGCUCACUAGGUGUUGGGGAAGCGAUUCCUUGGUACCGUAGCUAACGCGUGAAGUGAGCCGCCUGGGGAGUACGGCCGCAAGGUUAAAACUCAAAGGAAUUGACGGGGACCCGCACAAGCGGUGGAUGAUGUGGAUUAAUUCGAUGCAACGCGAACAACCUUACCUACCCUUGACAUGUCCGGAAGCCUGCUGAAAGGUGGGUGUGCUCGAAAGAGAACCGGAACACAGGUGCUGCAUGGUGGUCAUCAACU